UAAGAAAGGAGUCAGUUUAACAAUGAUCGGAGCCAUCUUUGCUUCUUUCGAGUUUGCCAAUACGCUUUUUUCGCCCGUAGUCGGAGCACUUAUGAGUAAAGUAACGCCGAAAUAUCUGUACCUGGCCGGAUGCAUCUUUGGUGCCGUAACUACUACAUUAUAUGGCUUGCUUGACAUGGCCCAGGACACGAGGACCUUCACAACUUUAUGCUUCAUUCUGAGGAUCGCCGACGCGCUCGCUGCUGCCACUUG